CUUACCCUGGGAUUUGGCAUAGCCCGUAGAGAUACGGGGUAAUUCCAAGCGACGUGGUUGGGGGGCAUCCCCCGGUCACCAAAGGUCCGCUGUCCUGGGAGAGGCCCAUGUGGUAUUAGCUAGUUGGUGGGGUAACGGCCUACCAAGGCGAAGAUGCCUAGCGGGUGUGAGAGCACGACCCGCGCCAUUGGCACUGAGAACUGGCCAAACACCUACGGGUGGCUGCAGUCGAGGAUCUUCGGCAAUGGGCGCAAGCCUGACCGAGCGACGCCGCGUGUGCGAUGAAGGCCUUCGGGUUGUAAAGCACUGUCGAGGGGGAGAAAGGCGCAAGCUUGAUCUAUCCCUGGAGGAAGCACGGGCUAAGUUCGUGCCAGCAGCCGCGGUAAGACGAACCGUGCGAACGUUGUUCGGAAUCAUUGGGCUUAAAGGGCGCGUAGGCGGGCUUCCAAGUCCGGGGUGAAAUCCUCCAGCUUAACUGGAGAACUGCCCCGGAUACUGGAGGUCUCGAGGAAGGUAGGGGCAUGCGGAACUGUGGGUGGAGCGGUGAAAUGCGUUGAUAUCCACAGGAACUCCGGUGGCGAAG
rnacentral:rRNA from 1 species